AAUUUAGCGAUACGAUAGGAGAAAGGAAGAAACGGAAAAAAUAAUAAAAAAUACAAACGGUAACUAACUCUUCCAAUGAGCGAUAUUUUUCUUUUCCGUUUCUUUUUCCGUUUCUCUCUCUC
rnacentral:ribozyme from 14 species